rnacentral:sRNA from 1 species
CUUGAUCGAUGGCUUCGCCAUCGCCAGCUUCGCCACCCUCGAGGCCUUGCAGAAGGAUGCAUCUCUUCAGCCCCCAGAGCGACUGGAACAUCGGCUGAAGCAUUCUGGGAAGCGGAAGAGGGGGGGCUCCAGUGGGGCCACCGGGGAGCCAGGGGACAGCUCUGAUCGAGAGCCUGGCCGGCCCCCUGGGGAUCGGGCCCGAAAAUGGCCCAAUAAGCGGAGAAGAAAAGAGGUCUCCGAUGAUGACCUCGACCCAUCCUUUACUGUCUCAACCAGCAAAGGUUGGUCCCAAGGUCUGGGGCUGGAGGCACGGGAGGGCAGUGGGGUGAGCAUGAGCCUCAACUGAGCAUGUCUGCCAUCCUGCCCCACAGCCUCGGGCCCCCACGGCGCCUUCAAUGGGAACUGUGAAGCAAAACUCUCCGUGGUCCCUAAAGUGUCGGGCCUGGAGCGGAGCCAAGAACAGCCCCCGGGGCCCGACCCGCUGCUAGUGCCUUUCCCCCCAAAGGAACC